rnacentral:rRNA from 1 species
AACGAACGCUGGCGGCGUGCCUAACACAUGCAAGUCGUGCGAGAAAGUUCCUUCGGGAGCGAGUAAAGCGGCGCACGGGUGAGUAACACGUAGGUAACCUGCCCCCCAGUCUGGAACAACUAGAGGAAACUCUAGCUAAUGCCGGAUGAGACCACGAUCCCUUCGGGGGUUGCGGCCAAAGAUGGCCUCUACUUGUAAGCUAUCGCUGAGGGAUGGGCCUGCGGGCCAUUAGCUUGUUGGUGAGGUAACGGCUCACCAAGGCUGUGGUGGCUAGCUGGUCUGGGAGGAUGACCAGCCACACUGGGACUGAGACACGGCCCAGACUCCUACGGGAGGCAGCAGUGGGGAAUAUUGCGCAAUGGGCGAAAGCCUGACGCAGCGACGCCGCGUGGGUGAUGAA